UGUGAUUUUAGUUUAAAUCAUACUGUCAAAACCCCUAAUUUCGGACACUUUUUCACGUUUUUCGAAAAGGGCUUUAAAACGAGCGAUUCAACUUGGUGUUUAUCUUCACAUUCUCAUAGAAUGUCAUCGUGUGAAUCGUUUUUGAGCAUCAAUUUAUAAAUUUUACGUGAUUUUGUUUAUUUAAUUUGAAUCCGAAAAGUGUCCGAAAUUAGGUCCAAGGUACCCUAAUUUCGGACACUUUUUCUUUAACGUGGGAACUCGAAAAUUUUAGUUGAAAAAGAAAUUAUUUACCUCUGAAAAACAACUCCAAUCAAAAACAGCUCGAAUCAUGAUGUGAAAUGUAGAGAAAAACAAUUUUUCAAGGAAAUGUUCAGCACUCUCAUUAUCCACUUUCUCAUUAGAAAAAUAAGUUGGUAACAUUGAACAAUUUCUUAUCAAACUCCUUGUUGAUGAUUUUACGACUCCGACUUUUACUUUUCAGAAUGGUUUUUAGGAAAAUGAGUGAAAUAAUAGUACAAUAUCUUCAUCAAAACUGAAAACACUUGAAAAAAUACCGUCGAACUCGAAAAAUACACAUUUGCAAGUGCAUCAGUGUUACCCUUCCAAUCUCGGUAAAGCGUUAACCAAAGUGUCCGAAAUAAUGAUCCGUUUCGCAACUUUUUCAGUUUUUAGGAUUUAAAUAAUAGAAACAAAACGUGAAAUUUGAUAAAUGAAUUUUAUUUUUAAUUACCAGUGACUUCUUGAUAUUUUAGAGCGAUUUUCGUGGUUAUGAAAGCAUUUGGAUAGACUCUGUGAAUAACUUUUUCCCCACACUUUACAUGAAGCACUUUGUAAAGUCCAUUUUAAUGGCUAAAUAAAUAGUGUAAAAUGAAAAUUCUUACAUCAAGGAGAUUGUCCGUGAUCUAAACUAAUAGAAGAAGUGUUCACUUUUACUUGUACCCUUGGUUCUUAUCAAUAAAAGAGCAAAAACACUGAGUGUCCGAAAUUACGUACCCUGUCCGAAAUUAGGGGGUUUGACAGUACUUAAAAGUAUUACAAAUGGUUGCUGAUAAUUUGAAAGACAGAAUAAAGAAUCAGAAAGCUGAACCUCAGUUCCUGCAGAUUGAAAGAAAUAACUCUAAAAGAAAUCGUAGGCUGGUAUGAAACAUGUCAGUUUGUUAAAUCUAUCUAUCUAAGAACAAAAUAGCCUUGAUUCCGAGCAAGAAUCAAAGAAAAAUGACAAAAAAGCUCAAUAUUGGGGUAUCGCCACACAAACUAAACAAAAAGAUCGCAAACAGAAGUAACUUUUGAGAUGAUGUACAGUUUUGCUCGGUUCUCAGUUAAUCUAAUGCAGUUACUAAAUACACAAUUGGCCAAAGUGAUCAGAGGCAAUUUGUGCAUGUAUGAUAUGAACGAUGAAAUGGUCUAAUACAUUUGUAAAGAAGUGAAAUCUUUCUAUUUCAAUAAUAAAAGGGUAGAUUAUA